ACAGAGUUCAACAGUGACGGCUAAGAUCAAGUCUAGCAUCUGUUCUUAUCAGUUUAUUAUAUGGUACGUCUUUUACCCGGGGACCAUAUACUAAAUUGAUUCUUGGAACAAGGAAAUGGAAAAGGAGCUUGCCCCGUCCACUACACGCAUCGACUUGGUACUGAACGGUGCAUCCCCU
ensembl:snRNA U2 U2 spliceosomal RNA